rnacentral:sRNA from 1 species
UAGCUCUUUGUACACGCCAGCCUUUAU